rnacentral:rRNA from 1 species
GACGAACGCUGGCGGCGUGCUUAACACAUGCAAGUCGUACGGUAAGGCCCUUUCGGUGGUACACGAGUGGCGCACGGGUGAGUAACACGUGAGUAACCUGCCCACAACUUUGGGAUAACGCUAGGAAACUGGUGCUAAUACUGGAUAUGUGCUCCUGCUGCAUGGUGGGGGUUGGAAAGCUCCGGCGGUUGUGGAUGGACUCGCGGCCUAUCAGCUUGUUGGUGGGGUAGUGGCCUACCAAGGCGGCGACGGGUAGCCGGCCUGAGAGGGUGACCGGCCACAUUGGGACUGAGGGACGGCCCAGACUCCUACGGGAGGCAGCAGGGGGGAAUAUUGCACAAUGGGCGCAAGCCUGAUGCAGCAACGCCGCGUGCGGGAUGACGGCCUUCGGGUUGUAAACCGCUUUCAGCAGGGACGAAGCUUUUUGUGACGGUACCUGCAGAAGAAGCACCGGCUAACUACGUG